CACUGGGCAGAGGCCAAUGGGAUGAGGUUCAACACUGCUACAGGCUUGGGGCAGAGUGGCUGGAAAGCUGUGCAGAAGAAAAGGAUCUGGGGGAGUUGGUUGACACUUGCCUGAACAUGAACCGGCAGUUUGCCCAGGUGGCCAAGAAGGCCAAUAGCAUCCUGGCUUGCAUCAGGAAUAGUGUAGCCAGCAGGAACAGGGAGGUGAUCAUCCCCUUGUAUUCUGCUCUGGUGAGGCCGCACCUCAA